rnacentral:rRNA from 1 species
GACGAACGCUGGCGGCGUGCUUAACACAUGCAAGUCGAACGGAAAGGCCCUGCUUUUGUGGGGUGCUCGAGUGGCGAACGGGUGAGUAACACGUGAGUAACCUGCCCUUGACUUUGGGAUAACUUCAGGAAACUGGGGCUAAUACCGGAUAGGAGCUCCUGCUGCAUGGUGGGGGUUGGAAAGUUUCGGCGGUUGGGGAUGGACUCGCGGCUUAUCAGCUUGUUGGUGGGGUAGUGGCUUACCCAGGCUUUGACGGGUAGCCGGCCUGUGAGGGUGACCGGCGACAUUGGGACUGCGAGACGGACCAGACUCCUACGGGAGGCAGCAGUGGGGAAUAUUGCACAAUGGGCGGAAGCCUGAUGCAGCAACGCCGCGGUCGGGAUGACGGCCUUCGGGGUGUAAACCGCUUUCGCCUGUGACGAAGCGUGAGUGACGGUAAUGGGUAAAGAAGCACCGGCUAACUACGUG